AAGCACCCAGUCUUCUUCCUCCUGUCACUGGCCAGACUGUGUACAGUAUAAUCAAAUGGUGUUCCGUGCUAGUGCUUUGUUCCUGUAGAACCUUUGUUCCGAUAGGAUUAAUGAAAGCCGUACUUUCAAAGGAUUCCGAAGGAAAAAUAGGCAAUACCUGUUUUGUGGCUCCGUGGACUUCCUGCCACCGGAGAUGAUGGAGGAGUUUAGUGCCGGGGUCUGCGGCUUGACGCAGUCGGAGAGCUCGGAGGUGGGGGCAGAGGAGGAGACGGAGGUGACGGGGCUCUCCGUCACGGUGACGAGGCUGGUGGUGGCGACGACGUCGUGACCCUCGUCCUUGAGGACCUGGAGCGUGCCGCUCUCCAGGUCGAGCUCCUCUUUGGCCGCCUGCUCCGCUGCGAGCCGCGCCUCCUUCUGCUGCCGGAAUCGCUGGAACAGCUUCCGUACGGGAUGGUCGGGGGGCAGGUUCAGGGGGGCCUCAUUCUUCCUCCGCAGCCGCUCUUCCUCCUCACGCUUAACGUCGCUGAUCUUCCGGAAGAUCAUCUACAAUGACAUGGAAAUGACACUGAAAGCUACCUUUCAUACACGCAACAUCAAUUUGCCGUUAUUUUAAAUCAUGCAGGAGUGUGAAGUUAUAGCACGAGCCAUGGAAGCGUUGCAGAGAGGUACGGGGAACGGUCAAGAAUUAAGGAUAUAUUUUUGUUAUUUUACCCUUUUUUGUUAAUGUGUUAUUUUAAAAUAAGUAUAAAACACACUAUGAAACAUUUCAUUCAAAGCGCUUUAAGGGGUAACUUUACAAAAGUUUAGUCAAGUCUGCCACUCUGUCUAUGAAAAUGAGCAGGACAUAUUUUGUUAUUUAAAGAUGGCGGACAUGGUUAUUUAAUUACAUUUAAUAGUACCUAGUAAGUUAGAAUCAUUUAGAAUCAAGCAUCAAAUACACAUGAAAAAACCUUGGUAGAAUAAUGUCUAGUUGUAUGGUGGUGCAGUGGUUAGCACUGUUGCCUCACACCUCUGGGACCCUGGUUCGAGUCUCUGCCUGGGUCACAUGUGUGCGGAGUUUGCAUGUUCUCCCCACGUCAUUGUGGGGUUUUCUUCGGGUACUCCAGUUUCCCCCCACAGUCCAAAAACAUGCUGAGGCUAAUUGGACUUGCUAAAUUGCCCGUAGGUGCGCAUGUGUGUGUGAAUGGUGUGUGAGUGUGCCCUGCGAUGGGCUGGCCCCCCAUCCUGGGUUGUUCCCUGCCUCGUGCCCAUUGCUUCCGGGAUAGGCUCUGGACGCCCCGCGACCCAGUAGGAUAAGCGGUUUGGAAAAUGGAUGGAUGUCUUGUUGUCUUGAUGGAAACGCCCAGCUGGGAGGGGGUAACCUCGCCUCACGCUUUAUUAAGCGAGUGACGAGCACAAAAUGCAGAUACAUCUGAAAGCUUGAAACAGACAGAGACAUCUUCAACACUAUGAUGGAAAUGCUAAACAGAAGGUAUGCUAAAUCUCUCACCGUAUUUCAGAAUUGUUAGAAUUGUCAGGCGCUACUGUGAAAACAUGUUGCUAUUAUUUUGACCAUGUGUUUUCUAUUCUGUGAAGCUCGAGGAAGGAUCGAGAAACAAAGGAUUGGAAUAGAAGCUAUAGAAGAAUUUAUUGUUCAUAGUUAGUUAUUUCUAUGGGUUUUAUUGUUUAAAUGCGGCAAAGCCUGAAAGUGAUUAUACUCUCAGUUGCAGAUAACAGCGAUCUAUUAAGCAGACCAGAGGUUACUUUCAGAGACGACCAUGAGGAGUCUGAGACCAAGCAAGACAACCUUAAGCGAAAAAGUGCUGAUAGUUUUAAUGUUUCAGAUGGAUGGCAAACCCCAGAAAUGGCAGCCCAGAUUGAUAAGCUUGUCAGCGGGGGAUUUACAGAGCUGGCAUCAACAGAGGAAGACACCGAGGGCAGAAGCAUGAGACCACUGAAUGUUAUACAGUUUACUAUAGGAGUAGUGGUAUGGAUUCUGGAUACGAUAAUAGACAAGAACCUAGAGGAGAAUCGUAAGGCCUGCGCUGCAUUCUGCUCAGACCCACAGCAGCACUCAUGUCUCUACAAUCCAAAACCACAAUUCCUUUUUGAUAAUUUUGAAAACUGUGUAGACCGUGCUGGAAAAAUGUUAUAGUGAACGGGAUCUUGAUAUUUAACCCAAUUCCGUCAUCUCCCACAAUGAUUCAAAGGGUUAUUGAUACAGUUUUAAAUAAGUUGAAAAAUGAGAGGGACACACGUAGCAAACUGGAUGAAUUGAUACGUGGUGUUAUGGUCAAUGAUUACGACAAUGAUGUAGAUGCAGCCGCUCGAGCGUUCUGAGAUAUGGAGCGGGACAAGCAGGUCCCGACAGACGUGAACUGAAUGUAACUGUUUGCGAUUGACUCUGGUCAAAAAUGUAUUUUUUAUUUGUUUGUAAUCAUUCUAACUGUCACGUCUCGGGGAGACACAGAGUGAGGAAGCACGAACUGGAGUCUAGAGUCAGGGAAAGAGGGGUUUAUUAAGAAGACAAUCCUAAUACAAGACAUAGAAGCACAGGCAGCAUCAAUGACCAGACUGGGGAAACAAACUGAAAUGCGGACUAAAUACAUUAAACUAAUGAGAGCAACAGGAAACAGCUGGUAAACAUGGGGAAUCCACAUGGGGUAGAUGAGGGGGCGUGGCCACGCGGGAGGAGCAGACAAGCGGGCCAUGACACUAAUUAAAUGAUAUGUCUCAAAAACAUUCUGUCAUUAUUGCUGGAUGUUCACUAUGCCUAACAAAGGGAAACCACUUGAACCCUGAAAACAUUCACAAUCCUAUCAGUGAAAUAUAACCCGCUAAAGAAUCAUCCAUCCAUCCAUCACUUUUCCAAACCGCUUAUCCUACUGCGACUCGGGGGGUCCGGAGCCUAUCCCGGAAGCAAUGGGCACGAGGCAGAGAACAGCCCAGGAUGGGGGGCCAGCCCAUCGCAGGGCACACUCACACACCAUUCACUCACACAUGCACACCUACGGGCAAUUUAGCAACUCCAAUUAGCCUCAGCAUGUUUUUGGACUGUGGGGGGAAGCCGGAGUAACCGGAGGAAACCCCACGAAGACAGGGGGAGAACAUGCAAACAAGGACACUUGUGCCUACUGCUAACAGCACGCGGCUGUGGCUGGACCACCACUGGAUGUGUAUGUGCUAGCUUACAUUCAUCCUGCUAUAUGUUUUAUUAUUCCUUAAAACACAAUUAAAAACAACACAUUAAUAAAUGCAUGUAAUGUUUGACGGUCCCCCUUAUUUCCCAAACCAUAUGGCCCCCUAUCCGCAAGAUGUGGCAUAAGCAUGUCUGAAACCAUAUAUGGACAUAUAUGAACUUAUGAUGUCAUAAAUGGAGCCCUACUAAGCUCCUCCCAAAGUACCAGGUAAUAUUUUUUGUAGACGUUCUAACACCAGUCAAACACCGGGCAGUAAAACCAGCAGCAGCGCUAAUGCAUGCAAAACACUGGCCAGUAAAACCAGCAGAAGCACUAAUUACAGUGAAACACCAGCCAGUUAAACCAGUAGUAGAGCUCACACCAGUAUGAAGCCAGCAUAUGGACUGAUAAUGUAAAGCAGCUGGAUGUCAUGGUCACACAUGAGCUACACCCCGCUAGCUCCUGAUUACAUUUUGAGGAGAUACAGUAUUUAUAAGUACAAUAUUUAAGCCAGUUAAUCCACUCUGCUUCACAGCCAAACGUGUGACACUGCAGUUAAAACAAAAAAAGCCUGAAUCCCAUCCUCCUGUUUCCUUCUAUCUCUAAUAAAUUCUUGGGCAAAAAUAAAAGGUGAAUAAAAAUAACUUUUUGUUCAUAUUUUUCACACAGGGCUGCCAGAGGUGCUUUGAUCGCGAAGUUGGUUGUGAUAUCAGAUCUCUUUGGGGUUUUAUACAGCCAUUUUCUCACUAACAGCUCCAGCCAAAUAAGACCCUGAAACUGUCCCAAAAACACCUCAGCCUGCAGAUUCGCCAUAAAAUCACAGUUGAGUUGUCAUAACAGGUUUAGGAUCAACGGUGACUGACAUGAGCGGAACAAUCGAAGAACAAAGGCAAGGUUUUACGACACACUAACGGACCUGUCAGCUAAUGGAGAGUUCAGCUGCUCAAGUUUAACGUACACAUGAACCAUCACUGAACCAGAAUGAAAAAUUAUCACUACUGAACAGUUUGCCUCUGCCUAGUACAUUUAUCUACCCAUCCAUCCUCCAUAGCAACUUAUCAAAGACAAUGUCACCGUGAUCCAAGACCUGAUCCCAGAGCACAGGGUGCGAGGCAGAACCCACCCUGGAUACUGGGACGAAAUCCCAUUAUCACACCCUACGCUGGUGCAGUGGGUCCUGGGUUCCUCCUGGUGCUCGGCCUCAUGUGGUGAGAAUAUGCAGGCAGUUCCUGGAGGAUGAAGGAAUUGAUACCUUUGACUGGCCUCCACGUUUGCCUGACCAAAAUCCAAUAGAACACCUCUGGGACAUUAUGUUUUGGUCCAUCUGACACCACCAGGUUGCACCUCAGACUGUCCAGGAGCUCAAAGAUACCCUGGUGCAGAUCUGGGAGGAGAUCCCCCAGGACACCAUCCAUCAUCUCAUUAGGAGCAUGGCCCCAACAUUGUCAGGCAUGCAUUCAAGCAUGUGGGGUCCAUCCAAAGAACUGAGUACGAUUUUGAGUUGCUGCAAUGAAAUUUCGGCAAAAUGGACUAGCCUGCCGCAUUAUUUCAUCACUUUGAUUUUUGGGGUGUCUUUGAAUUCAGCCCUCUGUAGGUUGAUGAUUUUAAUUUCAUCUAACAAUGUAGCAUCCUUUCAUUUCUAACACAUUACCCAGUCCAUAUCAGUAUAUAUAACGAGCAUGAUUUUUUUUUCUCAUUCAGAUCUGAUGUGUUUUGAAGAUGUUCCUUAAAUUUUUU